rnacentral:lncRNA from 1 species
UGAAUCUAUGUGAUAUGUAUAUAUGAUAUAUGUUAAUGUUAAUGUUCAUAUAAAUGAUCCAAUGAUGUAGUUCUAUUUUCUUUUUUCAUUUUACCUAGCAAGCUCUUGAUCGUGGAUUGAUGGUGUUCUAUUUACCCAGAACUUCGCAUCCGAGGUGGACUUUGAUUCUUCUUGUUUUGACUUUUGUGUAUGUUUUCCUUCAUUCGCAACACACCGUAAAUAAAAUUAUGGAUUAACCAAUGAGUAGUUGUUAAUGUUAACAUUUUUAAUUGGCUAGUUUGUAUUCGUGUUUAGUGCGUAUUUUUCUCGAGAUAUGGAAAAUUGAUGAGCUGGCUGGUUAGUUAAAUAUAUAUUUUUACUUAUUUUAAUACAAAUGCUAAUUAACUUGUUGACCCAACAUAUUAUUUAAGAAAAAUAAAAUAAA